rnacentral:rRNA from 1 species
GACGAACGCUGGCGGCGUGCCUAAUACAUGCAAGUAGAACGCAGUUGCGAACGGGUGAGUAACGCGUAGGUAACUGCCUCAUAGCGGGGGAUAACCAUUGGAAACGAUAGCUAAUACCGCAUACUGUGAGAUGGACCUGCGUUGUAUUAGCUAGUUGGUGAGGUAAAGGCUCACCAAGGCGCCGAUACAUAGCCGACCUGGGAGGGUGGUCGGGCAAACUGGGAAUGGGACACGGGCCAGAAUCCUACGGGAGGCAGCAGUAGGGAAACUUCGGAAAUGGGCGGAAGGCUGACCGAGCAAAGCCGCGUGAGUGAAGAAAGUUUUCGGAUCGUAAAAGUCUGUUGAUAGAGAAGCGGUAACUGACCAGAAAGGGACGGCUAACUACGUGCCAGCAGCCGCGGUAAUUC